UGGGGAAUAUUGCACAAUGGGCGAAAGCCUGAUGCAGCAACGCCGCGUGAGCGAUGAAGGCCUUCGGGUCGUAAAGCUCUGUCCUCAAGGAAGAUAAUGACGGUACUUGAGGAGGAAGCCCCGGCUAACUACGUGCCAGCAGCCGCGGUAAUACGUAGGGGGCUAGCGUUAUCCGGAUUUACUGGGCGUAAAGGGUGCGUAGGUGGUUUCUUAAGUCAGGAGUGAAAGGCUACGGCUCAACCGUAGUAAGCUCUUGAAACUGGGAAACUUGAGUGCAGGAGAGGAAAGUGGAAUUCCUAGUGUAGCGGUGAAAUGCGUAGAUAUUAGGAGGAACACCAGUAGCGAAGGCGGCUUUCUGGACUGUAACUGACACUGAGGCACGAAAGCGUGGGGAGCAAACAGG
rnacentral:rRNA from 1 species